UACGGGGGGGGGUAAGCGUUGUUCGGAAUUACUGGGCGUAAAGGGCUCGUAGGCGGCCAACUAAGUCAUACGUGAAAUCCCUCAGCUUAACUGGGGAACUGCGUGUGAUACUGGAUGGCUUGGAUUUGGGAGAGGGAUGCGGAAUUCCAGGUGUAGCGGUGAAAUGCGUAGAUAUCUGGAGGAACACCGGGUGGCGAAGGCGGCAUCCUGGACCAAUAUUGACGCUGAGGAGCGAAAGCUAGGGGAGCAAACGGGG
rnacentral:rRNA from 1 species